rnacentral:rRNA from 1 species
UGGGGAAUCUUAGACAAUGGGGGCAACCCUGAUCUAGCCAUGCCGCGUGAGUGAUGAAGGCCUUCGGGUUGUAAAGCUCUUUCAGCUGGGAAGAUAAUGACGGUACCAGCAGAAGAAGCCCCGGCUAACUCCGUGCCAGCAGCCGCGGUAAUACGGAGGGGGCUAGCGUUGUUCGGAAUUACUGGGCGUAAAGCGCACGUAGGCGGAUUGGAAAGUUGGGGGUGAAAUCCCGGGGCUCAACCCCGGAACUGCCUCCAAAACUACCAGUCUUGAGGUCGAGAGAGGUGAGUGGAAUUCCGAGUGUAGAGGUGAAAUUCGUAGAUAUUCGGAGGAACACCAGUGGCGAAGGCGGCUCACUGGCUCGAUACUGACGCUGAGGUGCGAAAGCGUGGGGAGCAAAC